rnacentral:tRNA from 1 species
GGGCGGCUAGCUCAGCUGGUUAGAGCGCCUGGUUUACACCCAGGAGGUCGGGGGUUCGAACCCCUCGCCGCCCACCA